AAAUUAGAAGCAUGCGUAAACCCUGCUUCUACCCCUCUUUGUCUCUGUCUCUGGCAAGUGCGAACCAGAAGAACCAUAUCUUCUGACUCUCUCUCUCACUCUUACUCUCAAUUCCAAAACCGAAGCAAAUGGAGCUGUGCACUGCGAACGCGAUUCUUCCACCAAGGUUCUCCUUUUCCACAACCCACGCAGAUUCCGUUCGAAACCUCAAAUCCUUCGUUCCGUUCCCCCGUUUCAUCAUCCGCGCCCAACGCGAAUUCGAGAGAAUGAGAGGAUUGCGACCCCGUGCGACUGUGAGUGACGCCGGUUCCUGUGAGGCGGUGGACGAGAGCCGAAUGCAUAGAGUGUGUGACAAGCUGAUUGGGGUUUUCAUGGUGGACAAGCCCACCCCAACCGAUUGGAGAAGGUUGUUGGCUUUCAGCAGAGAAUGGAACAACCUCAAGCCUCAGUUCUUUGCGCGCUGUCAAGAAAGAGCCGAUGCCGAAGAGGAUCCCGCCAUGAAGGAGAAGUUGCUACGCCUUGCAAGGAAGCUCAGACAGAUUGACGAGGAUGUGCAGAGACACAAUGACCUUCUUGAGGUGGUAAAACAGGAUCCCUCAGAAAUUAGUGAGAUUGUCUCCAAGCGUCGUAAAGAUUUUACUGAGGAGUUCUUUAUUCACCUUCAUACAGUGGCUGAAUCCUACUAUGAUAACAAAGAAAAGCAAAAUGAAUUGGCAAAGAUUGGGAACGCAUGCUUGGCUGCUGUACAAGCCUAUGAUGCUGCAACUGAAAGCCUUGAACAGGUAAAUGCUGCAGAGUUGAAAUUCCAAGAUAUUAUCAGUUCUCCUUCGCUUGAUGCUGCCUGCAGGAAGAUAGACAAUUUGGCUGAAAAAAAAGAACUUGACUCAACAUUGGUAUUGAUGAUCACCAAAGCUUGGUCAGCUGCGAAGGAAUCGGACAUGAUGAAAGAAGAGGUAAAGGAUAUCCUCUAUCAUUUAUACAAGACUGCUGUGGGAAAUCUUCAGAAACUCGUGCCGAAAGAGGUUAGAAUAGUGAAGUAUCUUAUUCAAAUCGAUGAUCCGGAAGAGCAACUGUCUGCCCUGAAAGAUGCAUUUACACCUGGAGAAGAACUUGAAGGAAAGGAUGUGGAUAAUUUGUACACGACACCAGAGAAGCUUCACACUUGGAUAAAGGGUGUGGUGGAUGCUUAUCAUUUAAGUAGAGAAGGUACCCUCAUUAGGGAAGCAAGGGAUCUGAUGAGUCCAGAGAUCAUCCAAAAAUUGGAGGUGCUCAAGAUGGUUAUCGAAAGGAACUUCAUGUGAAUAGGAGAGUUUAAGAAACAUGCUAAGGUGGUUUUCCUACUCUGAGGAGCCAAAAUUAUAUUCUUGAGCCAUGAGAUUCUCAAUGUCCACCAACUACAAGCCCUAACACGGGCAUUGCUGCAAGGAAAUAUCUAGUUGCUGGGUAGUGUUUCAGGAUUCGGAAUUCUUUUUAACCAUAGAAUAAACAACUUUUUUUAGUGAAAAAUAGAUGAGCAAAGCAGGAAACAAAAUAUACAACAAUCAUAAUGACAGCAUGUAAGUUAGGUUUGUCUAUGGUUUUGGUCACAAUAACUAUAGGAAAUUGAAAAGUGAGUAGGGAAAUGUGUUCUUUACACGUAGGAGAGGGAACAUAGUAGACCCGUAUUUGAAUACAGAACUUGGACUUUUGAGCCCUGGCACACGUUGAUUGUUCUACCAAAAGCCAAGGUCCAUAGUGAAGCCACUUAUAAGGUUGAAGAAUGUCUAGGCAAAUGAUCACUCAAUUAGGACAGUUUCUUGUUUUUGGAAACGGAUUUUUUCUUAAAAGGACAAAAAAAUGUUUGAUUUGAUAA